rnacentral:rRNA from 1 species
GACGUAGGGCGCGAGCGUUGUCCGGAUUUAUUGGGCGUAAAGAGCUCGUAGGCGGCUUGUCGCGUCGACCGUGAAAACUUGGGGCUCAACCCCAAGCCUGCGGUCGAUACGGGCAGGCUCGAGUUCGGUAGGGGAGACUGGAAUUCCUGGUGUAGCGGUGAAAUGCGCAGAUAUCAGGAAGAACACCCGUGGCGAAAGCGGCUCUCUGGAACGGUACUGACGCUGAGACGCGAAAGCGUGGGGAGCGAACAGG